UGAACACGAGACGCUAAGGCGUCGAAGUAGUGUAUGUCAUACUUCCAAGAAAAGCUUGCACUGUCAUAGAUAAAAAACGCCUGUACCAUAACCGACACAGGUGGGUAGGUAGAGUAUACUAAGGGGCGCGAGAUAACUCUCUCUAAGGAACUCGGCAAAAUAACUCCGUAACUUCGGGAGAAGGAGUGCCUUAUUAUUAAGGUUGCAAUAACAAGAUCCAAGCAACUGUUUAUCAAAAACACAGGUCUCCGCUAAGUCGUAAGACGAUGUAUGGGGGCUGACGCCUGCCCAGUGCCAGAAGGUUAAAGAAGCUGGUUAGCAUUUGCGAAGCUAGUAACUGAAGCCCUGGUGAACGGCGGCCGUAACAAUAACGGUCCUAAGGUAGCGAAAUUCCUUGUCGGGUAAGUUCCGACCCGCACGAAAGGCGUAAUGAUUUGGAUACUGUCUCGGAGAGGGGCUCGGUGAAAUAGACUUGUCUGUGAAGAUGCGGACUACCUGCACCAGGACAGAAAGACCCUAUGAAGCUUUACUGUAACUUGAAAUUGAAAUUGGACUUUAUUCGCGCAGUAUAGGUGGGAGGCGUUGAUUAUAAUCUUGCGGGAUUAUUGGAGCCAUUAGUGAGAUACCACUCUUGUAAUGUUAGAUUUCUAACUUUGAUCAUUAUCUGGUCAAAGAACAGUUUCAGGCGGGCAGUUUGACUGGGGCGGUCGCCUCCUAAACGGUAACGGAGGCGUACAAAGGUUUCCUCUGAACGGUUAGAAAUCGUAUCUAGAGUGUAAAGGCAUAAGGAAGCUUGACUGUGAGACCUACAAGUCGAGCAGGGACGAAAGUCGGUCUUAGUGAUCUGACGGUACUGAGUGGAAAGGCCGUCACUCAACGGAUAAAAGUUACUCUAGGAUAACAGUCUGAUCUCCCCCAAGAGUUCACAUCGACGGGGAGGUUUGGCACCUCGAUGUCGGCUCAUCGCAUCCUGGGGCGGUAGUACGUCCCAAGGGUUGGGCUGUUCGCCCAUGAAAGCGGUACGCGAGCUGGGUUCAGAACGUCGUGAGACAGUUCGGUCCAUAUCCGGUGUAGGCGUUAGAAUAUUGAGAGGAGCCUUCUUUAGUACGAGAGGACCGAGAAGGACAUACCUCUGGUGUACCAGUUAUCGUGCCAACGGUAGACGCUGGGUAGCUAUGUAUGGAGUGGAUAACCGCUGAAAGCAUCUAAGUGGGAAGCCCACCUCAAGAUAAGUAUUCUCAUC
rnacentral:rRNA from 1 species